rnacentral:lncRNA from 1 species
AUGGGCAUAACGUCUAAGCAGCCCCGCGGCGGAUGCGCACAAGGUUUAGCGCGCAGCUGGAAACGCUCUAAGUACUGUUGCGAAACGUACUGCAUAGACGCCCCCCGCGACGCCGAGAGGAGAGCUAGGCCUACUCUGCACCGAGCCUGCGAGCUCCCGACCUUCCGGAAGGCUUGGGCCACGAGCACGGAGCACCGAAGCAGGGUUUCUGGCCUUUGGGGGCAGCCCUGGCCGAAAGGUCCAGAAGCGAGGGCCCCCAAACGCCUCGAUCCCCCCGCGCAAUCACACCCAGAAAGCUCUAGGGGUGAAAUUGACAGAGGCCGGCCCUGGGGGGGCAACUGACAGUGGUUCCUGGUGGAAAAGUUCCGGGCAAUUGUUUCCGCCAGGGCCCUGUUUUCCUGGUCGCCAUGGCAACCCUGGAGUCCCCACGAACGUCCUCCACAAUCGGGCGCUUGGAGGACAAUCGCCGCGCACUUUUGCCGCGCUCCUUGAGGCCUGCAAGGCGCUUCCGCCCUCCGCUCUGGGUUUUCCGGAGCCUCCCUAGUGAGUUCAGCACCGCAGGGAUUGAAAAACUCUCCUCCUUUUUUAAACAGGGGAGAAAAUCGCGAUUUAGGAGAAUCACUGCCAGGUAGGUUUGGGUCUCCAGCAAAAGCUCACGCUUUGAGUUGAAAGCGAUGCCCUCAGAGACGCGCGCGCGGGCAGCCGGUAGAAUACUUUUCACCCAAACCCUGAUCGCGAACGUCUCAGCCAGGGACCCGGAACUCACGGAGUCUCUUCACUUAAGCCGAUCACCCCCACGGGUACCCGAGGUUCCCCGCGUGGGUCUGGGCAACCUCGUCGCCUGCCUGGAAGAACGUCUCCUAAAUGGGAGGAGGAAAGUCGGAAACUAAAAUUCAUGUCUGCAGGGUCUUACAGAAAAAAAACAAUAAAUUAUACUCCUUUUCCUGCAAGGGAGAAAAUUGUUCAAGUGUGGAUGUACUUAUAAAGAGCAUUAAAUAAUAUCGGAGGGAGCACUGCUUUUUCCUUGGACCUGUGGAGGGAAAUGCCCCUCUUUUUUUGUGGGGUGGACAGCGGACGGCACAGAACGGCUUUUCUGUGUGCAUUUGGGAGGCAGCAGCUCUCAGAAAGAACCAGGGUGCGCAUCAGCUUGGAUGCUGGGUUUGU